CUCCGCCAAGAGGGCUUCUCGGACAGGAUUGUGAUGUGUACAAUCGAUCGACAUUUGCCCUACGACAGGCCCAAACUGAGCAAGUCAAUGGAUUCCCACGCUGACCAGAUCGCUCUGCGUCCAAAAGAAUUCUUCCGCACGAACGACAUUGAGGUCCUGACUGAAAUGCAGGUGGUGGCGGUGGAUGUCAAGAACAAGACGGCCAUUUUCAAGGAUGGGUUUAAGAUGGAGUACAACAAGCUGCUGCUGGCAACAGG